UACCUGGUUGAUCCUGCCAGUAAUCAUAUGCUUGUCUCAAAGAUUAAGCCAUGCAUGUCUAAGUACAUGCCGAAAUAAGGCGAAACCGCGAAUGGCUCAUUAAAUCAGUUAUGGUUCCUUAGAUCGUUUCUUCCUACUUGGAUAACUGUGGCAAUUCUAGAGCUAAUACAUGCAGUGAGCCUGAAGCCCUUUGGGCGACGGGUGCUUUUAUUAGACCAAGAUCGAUCGGGUUUCGGCCCGUAUUGUGUGGUGACUCUGGAUAACUUUGUGCUGAUCGCAUGGCCACGAGCCGGCGACGUUUCUUUCAAGUGUCUGCCUUAUCAACUUUCGAUGGUAGGUUACUUGCUUACCAUGGUUGUUACGGGUAACGGAGAAUCAGGGUUCGAUUCCGGAGAGGGAGCCUGAGAAACGGCUACCACAUCCAAGGAAGGCAGCAGGCGCGCAAAUUACCCACUCCCGGCACGGGGAGGUAGUGACGAAAAAUAACAAUACGGGACUCUUUUGAGGCCCCGUAAUUGAAAUGAGUACACUCUAAAUCCUUUAACGAGGAUCAAUUGGAGGGCAAGUCUGGUGCCAGCAGCCGCGGUAAUUCCAGCUCCAAUAGCGUAUACUAAAGCUGCUGCGGUUAAAAAGCUCGUAGUUGGAUCUCAGUUCCAGACGAGUAGUGCAUCUACCCGAUGCGACGGCUCGGACUGAACAUCAUGCCGGUCCUUUCUUGGUGCACUUCAUUGUGUGCCUCGAGAAGGCCGGUGCUUUUACUUUGAAAAAAUUAGAGUGCUCAACGCAGGCGAGUCGCCUGAAUAAACUUGCAUGGAAUAAUAGAACAAGACCUCGUUUCUGUUCUGUUGGUUUUUGGAAUACGAGGUAAUGAUUAAGAGGGACAGACGGGGGCAUUCGUAUUGCGGCGCUAGAGGUGAAAUUCUUGGACCGUCGCAAGACGAACUACUGCGAAAGCAUUUGCCAAGAAUGUUUUCUUUGAUCAAGAACGAAAGUCAGAGGUUCGAAGGCGAUCAGAUACCGCCCUAGUUCUGACCAUAAACGAUGCCAACCAGCGAUCCGCCUGAGUUACUCAAAUGACUCGGCGGGCAGCUUCCGGGAAACCAAAGUGUUUGGGUUCCGGGGGAAGUAUGGUUGCAAAGCUGAAACUUAAAGGAAUUGACGGAAGGGCACCACCAGGAGUGGAGCCUGCGGCUUAAUUUGACUCAACACGGGAAAACUUACCCGGCCCGGACACUGGGAGGAUUGACAGAUUGAGAGCUCUUUCUUGAUUCGGUGGAUGGUGGUGCAUGGCCGUUCUUAGUUGGUGGAGCGAUUUGUCUGGUUAAUUCCGAUAACGAACGAGACUCUAGCCUAUUAAAUAGGUGCGGGGUUCCCAGCACCUUACAACCUUCUUAGAGGGACAAGCGGCUCCUAGCCGCACGAAACAGAGCAAUAACAGGUCUGUGAUGCCCUUAGAUGUCCGGGGCCGCACGCGCGCUACACUGAAGGAAGCAGCGUGUCUUUAUCCCUGUCUGAAAAGACUGGGUAACCCGUGGAACUUCUUUCGUGAUUGGGAUAGGGGCUUGCAAUUGUUCCCCUUGAACGAGGAAUUCCCAGUAAGCGCGAGUCAUAAGCUCGCGUUGAUUACGUCCCUGCCCUUUGUACACACCGCCCGUCGCUACUACCGAUUGAAUGAUUUAGUGAGGUCUUCGGACCGAUGUCCGGCGCGGCCUUUCGGUUGCGCCGGUCUGUUGGAAAGAUGACCAAACUUGAUCAUUUAGAGGAAGUAAAAGUCGUAACAAGGUUUCCGUAGGUGAACCUGCGGAAGGAUCAUUA
rnacentral:rRNA from 1 species